UCAGACGAUGCGUCAUGCAUAUCAAUAAGCGGAGGAAAAGAAACUAACAAGGAUUCCCCUAGUAACGGCGAGUGAAGCGGGAAGAGCUCAAAUUUGAAAUCUUAAAGGGUUUCCCUUUACGAAUUGUAGUUUAAAGAAGUGUUUUCUGUUGAGGUUUUGGUAAAAGUUCUUUGGAAUAGGACAUCAUAGAGGGUGAGAAUCCCGUAUUUGACCUUUACUUUCAACUUUGUGAUACACUUUCAAAGAGUCGGAUUGUUUGGGAAUGCAGUCCAAAAUGGGUGGUAAAUUUCAUCUAAAGCUAAAUAUUGGCGAGAGACCGAUAGCGAACAAGUACCGUGAGGGAAAGAUGAAAAGAACUUUGAAAAGAGAGUUAAACAGUACGUGAAAUUGUCAAAAGGGAAGCGUUUGACACCAGUGUUGUUUUUCUGAAAAUCAAUUAAAGAACUGUUUAUGCUAAGCUUGUUUAGACUUUAUCAGCUAUCUGUUUAGUUUUGAGCUUUUCUUUAAUGCACUUUUCAGUUAACAAGUCAACAUCAAUUUCUUUUGCUGUAAAAAAGCUUGAGGAAGGUGGCUUGAGAUUCGUCUUAAGUGUUCAUAGCCUCUUGCCUAUGCAGUCGGAGAGAUUGAGGUCUGCAGCGUAGAUCCUUCGGGGCUAAAUGCAUUUGUGCUAAGUUAUAGCAUUUUAUAGACAACUUGUUGACUAUGAUUUGUCUUGUAGCUUACUCGCUUAUGUUAUUUUACCUACGCUUAGGAUGUUGACACACGCGCGUGCUCG
rnacentral:rRNA from 1 species